GUUAUAGUAGUUUAAAUUUAGAACAUAGCUUUGAAGCGGCUGGAGUGGUAAGUUUUCCCUAGAACA
rnacentral:tRNA from 1 species